rnacentral:rRNA from 1 species
CGAACGAAGUAGCAAUACUUAGUGGCAGACGGGUGAGUAACAUGUAGGUAUCUGCCCUUUGGCCUGGAAUAACACGAGGAAACUUGUGCUAAUACCGGAUAAGUCUUUACGGAGAAAGCUUUAUGCACCAUUGGAUGAGCCUGCACUUGAUUAGUUUGUUGGUGGGGUAAUGGCCUACCAAGACUGUGAUCAAUAGCUGAUUUGAGAGGAUGAUCAGCCACAUUGGGACUGAGACACGGCCCAAACUCCUACGGGAGGCAGCAGUGGGGAAUCUUGCACAAUGGAGGAAACUCUGAUGCAGCGAUGCCGCGUGAGUGAAGAAGGCCCUUGGGUUGUAAAGCUCUUUCGUCGGGGAAGAAAAUGACUGUACCCGAAUAA